rnacentral:rRNA from 1 species
CAUGCAAGUCGAACGAGCUUCCGUUGAAUGACGUGCUUGCACUGAUUUCAACAAUGAAGCGAGUGGCGAACUGGUGAGUAACACGUGGGGAAUCUGCCCAGAAGCAGGGGAUAACACUUGGAAACAGGUGCUAAUACCGUAUAACAACAAAAUCCGCAUGGAUUUUGUUUGAAAGGUGGCUUCGGCUAUCACUUCUGGAUGAUCCCGCGGCGUAUUAGUUAGUUGGUGAGGUAAAGGCCCACCAAGACGAUGAUACGUAGCCGACCUGAGAGGGUAAUCGGCCACAUUGGGACUGAGACACGGCCCAAACUCCUACGGGAGGCAGCAGUAGGGAAUCUUCCACAAUGGACGAAAGUCUGAUGGAGCAAUGCCGCGUGAGUGAAGAAGGGUUUCGGCUCGUAAAACUCUGUUGUUAAAGAAGAACACCUUUGAGAGUAACUGUUCAAGGGUUGACGGUAUUUAACCAGAAAGCCACGGCUAACUACGUGCCAGCAGCCGCGGUAAUACGUAGGUGGCAAGCGUUGUCCGGAUUUAUUGGGCGUAAAGCGAGCGCAGGCGGUUUUUUAAGUCUGAUGUGAAAGCCUUCGGCUUAACCGGAGAAGUGCAUCGGAAACUGGGAGACUUGAGUGCAGAAGAGGACAGUGGAACUCCAUGUGUAGCGGUGGAAUGCGUAGAUAUAUGGAAGAACACCAGUGGCGAAGGCGGCUGUCUAGUCUGUAACUGACGCUGAGGCUCGAAAGCAUGGGUAGCGAACAGGAUUAGAUACCCUGGUAGUCCAUGCCGUAAACGAUGAGUGCUAAGUGUUGGAGGGUUUCCGCCCUUCAGUGCUGCAGCUAACGCAUUAAGCACUCCGCCUGG